GGGGAAGCCGGUGUAAAUCCGGCGCUGACCCGCAACCGUGAGCACGCGCCGCGCAUCGCGGCCGGACGAGCCGGAGCACCC
rnacentral:ncRNA from 1 species